GAGGGAAUCUUCGGCAAUGGACGGAAGUCUGACCGAGCAACGCCGCGUGAGUGAAGAAGGUUUUCGGAUCGUAAACUCUGUUGUUAGAGAAGAACGUUGGUAGGAGUGGAAAAUCUACCAAGUGACGGUAACUAACCAGAAAGGGACGGCUAACUACGUGCCAGCAGCCGCGGUAAUACGUAGGUCCCGAGCGUUGUCCGGAUUUAUUGGGCGUAAAGCGAGCGCAGGCGGUUCUUUAAGUUUGAAGUUAAAGGCAGUGGCUUAACCAUUGUACGCUUUGGAGACUGGAGGUCUUGAGUUCAGUAGGGGAGGGUUGAAUUCCAUGUGUAGCGGUGAAAUUCGUUAAUAUAUGGAAGAACUCCUGUGGCGAAAGCGGCUCUCUGGUCUGUAACUGACGCUGCGGCUCCAAAGCGUGGGGAACAAACAGG
rnacentral:rRNA from 1 species